AUUGAACGCUGGCGGCACGCCUAACACAUACAAGUCGAACGGCAGCGCGAUUGAGAGUAAUCUUAAUUGGCGGCGAGUGGCGAACGGGUGAGUAAUACGUAGGAAUAUGCCUUAAAGACUGGGAUAGCCUUGGGAAACUGAGGGUAAUACCGGAUGAGCUCUGCGGAGGAAAGGCUGGGGACCGAAAGGCCUGGCGCUUUAAGAGUAGCCUACGUCCGAUUAGCUAGUUGGUGGGGUAAAGGCCUACCAAGGCGACGAUCGGUAGCUGGU
rnacentral:rRNA from 1 species